UAGAGUUUGAUCAUGGCUCAGAACGAACGCUGGCGGCAGGCCUAACACAUGCAAGUCGAACGACACAGUGGCAGACGGGUGAGUAACGCGUGGGAACGUACCCUUCGGUACGGAAUAGCUUCUGGAAACGGAAGGUAAUGCCGUAUACGCCCUCAGGGGGAAAGAUUUAUCGCCGAAGGAUCGGCCCGCGUUAGAUUAGCUAGUUGGUGGGGUAAUGGCCUACCAAGGCGAAGACGGAUAGGGGGCGUGAGAGCGCGACCCCCCACACUGGCACUGAGACACGGGCCAGACUCCUACGGGAGGCAGCAGUGAGGGAUAUUGCACAAUGGACGGAAGUCUGAUGCAGCGACGCCGCGUGGAUGAUGAAGGCCCUCGGGUUGUAAAAUCCUUUACAAGGGGACGAGGAAGGACGGUACCCUUGGAACAAGUGUCGGCUAACUACGUGCCAGCAGCCGCGGUAAGACGUAGGACACAAGCGUUAUCCGGAUUUACUGGGCGUAAAGCGUCUGCAGGCGGACAGGUAAGUUGGGCGUGAAAGCUCCGGGCUCAACCCGGAGAGGUCGUUCAAUACUGCGUGUCUAGAGGGUGUCAGAGGGGAGUGGAAUUUCCGGAGUAGCGGUAAAAUGCGCAGAGAUCGGAAAGAACACCAAUGGCGAAGGCAGCUCCCUGGGGCAUACCUGACGCUAAGAGACGAAAGCUAGGGGAGUGAACAGGAUUAGAGACCCUGGUAGUCCUAGCCCUAAACGAUGGAUGCUGGAUGUGGGGCCAUAGCGCUCCGUGUCGAAGCGAACGCGUUAAGCAUCCCGCCUGGGGACUACGGCGCAAGGUUAAACUCAAACGAAUUGACGGGACCCCGCACAAGCAGCGGAGCGUGUGGUUUAAUUCGAUGCUACACGAAGAACCUUACCUGGGUUUGACAUCUANGUGGUAGCGAGUGA
rnacentral:rRNA from 1 species